CUGGGAAACUUCAGAAAACCCUGAGACCUAUCAGCUUACUGGGGGAGGGGGCAUCCCAGGGAUUUCUAGGAAUGUAAGCUCUGCCGAGGAACAGCUAUCUCUCCAGAGACACUUCUAUCAUGCCGGAAACCGGCAGAGGCCUGACCGUAAGCCAGCCGGAAAUAUUCUUGCUUCAUUUUGCAGCCCAUAAGGCUUCAGGGACACCGGACUGGAGAGGCAGCAGGGAGGAUGCCCUGUGAAAUCUGGGUUUCCCACUAAGCCACGAGCCUGUGGUUAUCCUGAGCAGCUGCAGCGUGAUAAAGCAUUGUGGGAAUCGGGGAGAUUCCACUGUGAGCAAGUGGUAGGAGAGUGAUCCCACACUGUGAUUUGGUCUGAAGCUUCUCCGUGCCUCGGAAGGCUGAAAAGCUUUACUUUUCCAAAGAGCAGUUUGUUCCACUCUUCUGCCCUUCUCUAGAUUCCAGAAGUUGCAAGAGCGGUAUUUGUGACCCCAGCAUUUGAGUUUCUACAAAGUAUGAAUGGCCAAACUCACUCAGCAGAGAGGCACGAUUAAUGGCAGGAGGCAGCUAUGUCCUUCAGCAGGAUCCAUUCUGCCAGUCUUGGAGACUCGUUUCUACCUUGGCAUUCUUCUGGACAAUUACUCUCUCUCUGACUACAAAAGUAAGUAUUUGGGGGGAGGGUUUGGGCAGGAAAUCACAGCUGUAUUAAAACUUUCAUUAAGUAAAAUAAAAUGUCGAGGAGGAGAGGUAAUGGAGAAAUGAAGGGGGGAAAAAACCCCACCUCCUAACCUUAUUUUAAUCAAAAACUUGGCUUUGGCCUUCUUUCUAACUAAACACUCUCAUAUAUUGAUUCAAAAUGAGUGUCAAUUGUUAAUACACGUAAACCAGUUCAAAAGACCAGAAGUGAGCGGAAGAAUCCUAGAAAAUUUACAGUGGGUUCUGCCUACUGGUAACUGAAGAUUCUGACUUACUAAAUUUUUUCUAAUACACUCGAAUUUACCAAUUAAAACAAUUCUUGGAAAUUGUUUUAAUUAUUUGUUUAGAGAGAGGGAGGGAGAGAGAAUCCCAAGCAGGCUCCACACCAUCAGCACGGAGCCUGACUUGGGGCUCGAACCUAUGAACCAGGAGAUCAUGGUGACCUGAACUGAAAUCAAGGAUCGGGCACUCUGACUGAGCCACCCAGGUGCCCCAAAACAACUUUUUUUCCCCUAAUACUGAAGACAUCAGCAGAGUUAAGAUGUUCUAAAUGUCACCUCUCAUCUACUCCUAUUAACCUAUGGUGUGCAAAGCAUAUCCUUUUUAAAUUUUGAGGUAGCUGAUUGAAAAAAAAUGUGUGUGUGUUUGUGUGUGUAGUAACUACUUAAGAGACAUUGUAAAUGAACUCUGUUCUGCAAGUAAAACACAUGAGGAGAAGCAAUCUUUAGUGAGAGGCAGGAAAUUUAAAAAAAAAAACCAGAGACUUAUUCCCAUUUUUUAAAAUUUCAAGUGCUCUGGAUUAUUCUGACUUAAAAGAGGCAACAUUUACUGCUGAUCACCAUGUGCUCUGUUCAUGCCCUGAAUUCGUGGGGGAGAUCACAACUUUGUCACACGGAGCAGAAGAGAAACAGUUGUCGGAGUUUGACACAUUUUCCAAUAGAAGAAAAAUCCAGUUGCCAACUACAUAUGGGUUCAUUUUGGGUUCCUGGAACUGAUAACACAUCAGCAUGUCUUACGAAACUUGUGCAUGGCAUGUUAUUGCAGCUGUAUAUCAUCAGAGAGAAAAAAAAUAAUUGGCUUUCCUUAGAGUAUCUCGAAGUUGAUGUCAUAUUCAAUAACCCUGUAGUUGAAAAAUCUAUAUAUGAUGGAUGAAGUUUGGACUAUCUUGAAUUUAAUUCCUCCUGUGCCAGCUUAUACAGGCCCUGGUGUACCUGUCAUUUGGAGGUGAGUGCGUGCAUUAUCUAGAAAAUGCAACCAGGUGUUCCUUUUGCCAGAAUAUGAACUAUAGGAGAACAAUUUGUCUCACAUGUACAACAGUCUCAUUCCUCACCCUUAACUAUGCCAAGGAAGAGCCAGUUUAAACUUGGAACCCCGCACCAGGGUCAGUGCCAAGGCGCGGCUUGAAUUAGUGCUGUGCAUUACAGAGUGAGGGGGACAGCUUCUCCUUCUGUAGAAUGGGGACUCUGGAGACAGGCCUUAAACAGACCAGCUUCUAAAGUAGGGUCCCAGGCCCGUCACCAACAUAUCCUCAUCGAGAACUCUUCCUUGGGAGAGUAAGUACUCUUUUUGGAUCUGCUCAUGAGGACUCUCAAAAAGAAAACAUUCAGAGCUUUGUCUCUGGUCCAGACCAAAAAAAAAAAAAAAAAAAAAAAAAAAAAAGCCAACUUAGAUGUCGUCUCAAGGCCCCCAUAUCAUCAGCAUUACAGGGCUGACCUCAGGAUGCAGCCUCUUGAGCCUGGGGGUCUGGCUUGAUUUGGAACUUUUGGACACAGCCUGGCCUCCUGUCGGAAGUGAUGCGUCCAUAUUUUGGAAUUCGGAUUUGUGAAACGUGGGAUGCAAAAUAAUCUGUCUUCUUGCACUCGGUUUUAUGUUGCACAGCCGACGAACACACGUGGUUACAGAAGAGCAAACCUCCCCACCUUGGUUUAUGCAUCCCUAAUUUGACAUGGAGAAGAACUGUUCUGGGAAGAGUACAGGGCCGAAUGAAACCGAUCAGGCAGGCUCCAAGAAGUGCCUGGAUGUUGUAAUAACUUGGGUGUCAAGAACCCGCUAAAGGGGAACUAUCAUUUCCAUGAUAGAGCAAGGGGUGUCUAAGCCUACUGAGAGCCUUGGGGCCACAACAUCACUGGGGAAGCGGACCAACCCGUGGCCACUCAAAAGCGGUAUUAUUGACCAAGUGCCCUGGAGCCCAAGCCGGCCUCUG